AAUUCAACCAAGUACGGCACCAAAUUCCUCACAAUCUGCUGACUAGAAGCUCCUCCCACUGCGAUCACACUGCCAAUCAACGUAAGCAGUGCUGCCUUCGCUUUGAAGCUCUCACUUUUAAGCAACUUCUGAAAUCUCGGCAACGACUUCCUCAAACAGGCAAUAUCCGGAUCUGGCGACGCCUCGAUAGCCGCCGCCAAGCACAAGGAGGCGCCGAUCUGCGAGUUCAUCUCCUGUUCCGUGAAAAGCGCUUCCAGGAACGGCUUGAUAAUGGAUGAGAACGGAGGUCUAGUCAAGUGCGACGAAAUGGAAGCACAAGCAGACGCGCAGGCGGCGCGUACAGCGGAAUCAGGAUCACGGAGGCGGCGGACGACGGCGGUGAGAAGCUUCGAGAGAUGAGGAGAGAGUGAGUCGCCGUGGUGCUCGGAGAGAAGAGAGAUGAGGCGGAGGCAUUGUUUACGGACUGGAGAUUUAUCGGAGGAAUCGGUAGCGGCAAUGGAGGAAACAAAAGGAGGAAUUGUUUCAGGGGAAAGGGUUUUAGCAAUGGACUCGAGUUCAGAAGCCGCCGCCGAAUGCGUGUCACGGUCAGAAAGCU
rnacentral:lncRNA from 1 species